UACGUAGGGUGCGAGCGUUAAUCGGAAUUACUGGGCGUAAAGCGUGCGCAGGCGGCUUCGCAAGUCAGGCGUGAAAUCCCCGGGCUUAACCUGGGAAUGGCGUCUGAAACUACGGAGCUGGAGUGUGGCAGAGGGAGGUAGAAUUCCACGUGUAGCGGUGAAAUGCGUAGAUAUGUGGAGGAAUACCGAUGGCGAAGGCAGCCUUCUGGGCCAACACUGACGCUCAUGCACGAAAGCGUGGGGAGCAAACAGG
rnacentral:rRNA from 1 species